AUUGAACGCUGGCGGCAGGCCUAACACAAGCAAGUCGAGCGAGUGGGGACGGGUGAGUAACACGUGGGUAACCUACCAUCAGAGGGGAUAACACUUGGAAACAGGUGCUAAACCGAUACUGAUGGAUGGACCCGGGGGGCAUUAGCUAGUUGGUGAGGUAACGGCUCACCAAGGCCACGAUGCAUAGACGACCUGAGAGGGUGAUCGGCCACACUGGGACUGAGACACGGCCCAGACUCCUACGGGAGGCAGCAGUAGGGAAUCUUCGGCAAUGGACGAAAGUCUGACCGAGCAACGCCGCGUGAGUGAAGAAGGUUUUCGGAUCGUAAAACUCUGUUGUUAGAGAAGCGGUAUCUAACCAGAAAGCCACGGCUAACUACGUGCCAGCAGCCGCGGUAAUAC
rnacentral:rRNA from 1 species